rnacentral:rRNA from 1 species
AGUGAACGCUGGCGGUAGGCCUAACACAUGCAAGUCGAACGGCAGCACAGUAAGAGCUUGCUCUUACGGGUGGCGAGUGGCGGACGGGUGAGGAAUACAUCGGAAUCUACUUUUUCGUGGGGGAUAACGUAGGGAAACUUACGCUAAUACCGCAUACGACCUACGGGUGAAAGCAGGGGAUCUUCGGACCUUGCGCGAUUGAAUGAGCCGAUGUCGGAUUAGCUAGUUGGCGGGGUAAAGGCCCACCAAGGCGACGAUCCGUAGCUGGUCUGAGAGGAUGACAACCACACUGGAACUGAGACACGGUCCAGACUCCUACGGGAGGCAGCAGUGGGGAAUAUUGGACAAUGGGCGCAAGCCUGAUCCAGCCAUACCGCGUGGGUGAAGAAGGCCUUCGGGUUGUAAAGCCCUUUUGUUGGGAAAGAAAAGCAGCAGGUUAAUACCCCGCUGUUCUGACGGUACCCAAAGAAUAAGCACCGGCUAACUUCGUG